rnacentral:rRNA from 1 species
AUUGAACGCUGGCGGCAUGCCUUACACAUGCAAGUCGAACGGCAGCACGGGAGCAAUCCUGGUGGCGAGUGGCGAACGGGUGAGUAAUAUAUCGGAACGUGCCCAGUCGUGGGGAUAACGUAGCGAAAGCUACGCUAAUACCGCAUACGAUCUAUGGAUGAAAGCGGGGGAUCGCAAGACCUCGCGCGAUUGGAGCGGCCGAUAUCAGAUUAGGUAGUUGGUGAGGUAAAGGCUCACCAAGCCGACGAUCUGUAGCUGGUCUGAGAGGACGACCAGCCACACUGGGACUGAGACACGGCCCAGACUCCUACGGGAGGCAGCAGUGGGGAAUAUUGGACAAUGGGCGAAAGCCUGAUCCAGCAAUGCCGCGUGCAGGAUGAAGGCCUCGGUUGUAAC